GGUUAAGUGACUAAGCGUACACGGUGGAUGCCUGGGCAGUCAGAGGCGAUGAAGGACGUACUAACUUGCGAUAAGCGCAGAUAAGGCAGUAAGAGCCGUUUGAGUCUGCGAUUUCCGAAUGGGGAAACCCAACUGCAUAAGCAGUUACUGUUAACUGAAUCCAUAGGUUAACAGAGCAAACCGGGGGAACUGAAACAUCUAAGUACCCCGAGGAGAAGAAAUCAACCGAGAUUCCGGUAGUAGCGGCGAGCGAACCUGGAUUAGCCCUUAAGCACUCGGUGAAGUAGGUGAACAAGCUGGAAAGCUUGGCGAUACAGGGUGAUAGCCCCGUAACCGACGCUUCAUCGAGCGUGAAAUCGAGUAGGGCGGGACACGUGAUAUCCUGUCUGAAUAUGGGGGGACCAUCCUCCAAGGCUAAAUACUCCUGACUGACCGAUAGUGAACCAGUACCGUGAGGGAAAGGCGAAAAGAACCCCUGUGAGGGGAGUGAAAUAGAACCUGAAACCGUGUACGUACAAGCAGUAGGAGCACCUUCGUGGUGUGACUGCGUACCUUUUGUAUAAUGGGUCAGCGACUUAUAUUCAGUGGCAAGGUUAACCGUAUAGGGGAGCCGUAGCGAAAGCGAGUCUUAACUGGGCGUUCAGUCUCUGGAUAUAGACCCGAAACCGGGUGAUCUAGCCAUGGGCAGGUUGAAGGUUGAGUAACAUCAACUGGAGGACCGAACCGACUAAUGUUGAAAAAUUAGCGGAUGACUUGUGGCUAGGGGUGAAAGGCCAAUCAAACUCGGAGAUAGCUGGUUCUCCCCGAAAGCUAUUUAGGUAGCGCCUCGGACGAAUACUACUGGGGGUAGAGCACUGUUAAGGCUAGGGGGUCAUCCCGACUUACCAACCCUUUGCAAACUCCGAAUACCAGUAAGUACUAUCCGGGAGACACACGGCGGGUGCUAACGUCCGUCGUGGAGAGGGAAACAACCCAGACCGCCAGCUAAGGUCCCAAAGUAUUGCUAAGUGGGAAACGAUGUGGGAAGGCUCAGACAGCUAGGAUGUUGGCUUAGAAGCAGCCAUCAUUUAAAGAAAGCGUAAUAGCUCACUAGUCGAGUCGGCCUGCGCGGAAGAUGUAACGGGGCUAAGCAAUACACCGAAGCUGCGGCAAUGUCCUUUGGGCAUUGGGUAGGGGAGCGUUCUGUAAGCCGUUGAAGGUGAAUCGUAAGGUUUGCUGGAGGUAUCAGAAGUGCGAAUGCUGACAUGAGUAACGACAAGGGGGGUGAAAAACCUCCCCGCCGGAAGACCAAGGGUUCCUGUCCAACGUUAAUCGGGGCAGGGUGAGUCGACCCCUAAGGCGAGGCUGAAAAGCGUAGUCGAUGGGAAACGGGUUA
rnacentral:rRNA from 1 species